ACGGGUGAGUAAUGUCUGGGAAACUGCCUGAUGGAGGGGGAGUAACUACUGGAAACGGUAGCUAAUACCGCAUAACGUCGCAAGACCAAAGAGGGGACCUUCGGGCCUCUUGCCAUCAGAUGUGCCCAGAUGGGAUUAGCUAGUAGGUGGGGUAACGGCUCACCUAGGCGACGAUCCCUAGCUGGUCUGAGAGGAUGACCAGCCACACUGGAACUGAGACACGGUCCAGACUCCUACGGGAGGCAGCAUG
rnacentral:rRNA from 1 species